rnacentral:tRNA from 1 species
GAGGCUGUAGCUCAGUCUGAUAUCACAGAGGAAUAUUUUUUAACCGUGGUGUCGCGGGUUCAAACCCCGCCAGCCUCA